rnacentral:rRNA from 1 species
UACGGAGGGAGCUAGCGUUGUUCGGAAUUACUGGGCGUAAAGCGCACGUAGGCGGCUUUGUAAGUUAGAGGUGAAAGCCCGGGGCUCAACUCCGGAACUGCCUUUAAGACUGCAUCGCUUGAAUCCAGGAGAGGUGAGUGGAAUUCCGAGUGUAGAGGCGAAAUUCGUAGAUAUUCGGAAGAACACCAGUGGCGAAGGCGGCUCACUGGACUGGUAUUGACGCUGAGGCGCGAAAGCGUGGGGAGCAAACAGG